rnacentral:tRNA from 1 species
AAAAAUUUAGUUAAAUUAAAUAACAUUAGUUUGUCAAACUAAAAUUAUUAUAAAAUAAUAAUUUUUA